rnacentral:rRNA from 1 species
AUGGCCGUCGCCGGCCAGUUCCAGAAGGUGCAGAUCCAGCGAGAGGACACGACCUCCGAUGCCUAUGUUGUCGGCAAACAGAAUACCCCUGGAGUUGUAGUGUUGCAAGAGUGGUGGGGCGUCAACAACCAGGUCAAGAACCAUGCCACCCACAUCUCCAAAAUCGGCCAUGGAUACAGAGCGCUUGUUCCAGAUUUGUACCGUGGGAAGGUCGCUCUGGAUGCUGCCGAGGCUCGCCAUCUGAUGGAAGGGCUAGACUGGCAGGGCGCAAUCAAGGACAUUCAAGCCUCAGUGAAAUGGCUCAAGGGAAAUGGAUCACCCAAGGUUGGUGUUACUGGUUAUUGCAUGGGAGGUGCCCUGGCAAUUGCGAGUGGAGUUUUGGUACCGGAGGUUGAUGCUGUUGUUGCUUUCUACGGGACGCCAUCGUCGGAGCUUGCUGAUCCUUCUAGGGCUCUGGCUCCAAUCCAGGCUCAUUUUGGGGAGCUCGACACUUAUGUCAGGUUUGCUGAUGUGACCGCGGCCAAGUCGUUAGAGGAGAAACUCAAAUCUUGUGGGGUGCCACAUGAAGUGCACAUAUACCCUGGAUGCUCCCAUGCCUUCAUGAACAACACAUCACCUGAGGCUCUCGAGAAUCAGGGAGCCAUUGACCUGGCAUGGUCCCGCUUUGCUACAUGGAUGGGUCGUUUCCUGUGA